UAAGUCACAGCUUCAAAUCUAAGCUGAGUAACAUUUGCUAAUAUUGAGAACAUUGCACAUAUUUUCAAUAACUUAAAAGUAAAUUCUCCUCUUCCUAUCUUCACUUCUUUUUACUAGAUUUAAGUAAAUCCAAAUAUUUACUCAUGGUAAGAGAUUCUGGCAUUAACUAUGAGUUUAACAGAAAUACAGAAAACCAUAAAGAUUAUCAAGCAUUCACAAAUGAUCAGGUAUAGCAAUUCCUCAGAAGCCCUCAAUGAGAAAGGCUGUUCUCCACUUUCUAAUAGCACCUAAGGUUUGCUGCAUAAUGUAAUUCAACAGAACAGCACUCUGACCAAUGAUAAACUUAUAUGAAAUUCUUUCGCCUAUUCAAGGUUUCAUUAUAAAGCUACUAUAUUUGACCAAUACUAAAAAUCUUAA